GCCACAUCAUUUCCCGGGCUUCGUAGGCACCUGCGGGGCGGAAACAGUUCAGCAGGGCCCUCCUGAUCACAAGGAUGAGGUCAUACCGGCUGCUGCACGGCAGGGCUGCACUCUGCCAUGGAGCGUCCUGUGAGGGAGGGGCUGCACUGCCACUUUACUGAUGAGGAAAUUAAGGUUCAGAGAGAUGAGGUCAUUUGUUAGAGGCCAGACAGCCUCCUCAGCCCAUUUCUAAGGUUGUUUCUGUGGUAUUUGCCAUAAAGCCAUAGGUUCAUUGAUUUGUUCUUAAGUAGUUCUGAGUCCUUCCUGCAUAUCAGGCAGGGACAAACGGGAAAGUCCCUGCCCUUGGCAAGUGCGGGGGAAAUGAAAUGAUUCUGCUCAGCCUCAUCCAUUGGUCUGAACAAUCACGUCUCAUGACCCCAGGGACACGGCUUCCCCUGAACGCGGAUCCUAGAGGCCAGGCAGAAGCAGCAUGGGUUUCCACUCACACGAUUUAUCUACUGCUCGUGAAAUCUCUGGAUUUAACUGUGAUGAAAGACCGGAGGCUGAAGGAGAACUUCAAUAUCAUAUAUUUUAAAGGUUGACUCACAGUUUGGAACAAGAAUUAAAGAACCACGAACUUCAAGGUAAAACGGGCAAUGGCGUUGGGGCAAGCCUCUCUGCAUCUGUGUGUCCAGCCUCUCCUGCGUGCCAGAAGUCCCCAGGCAGGAGUGUGGUGGGACAUCCGGCUGGGGUAAGGACAGGCACCCUCCCACUGUGUCAGGGCCCAGAGAGUGGGUGGAGAAGCUCUGCAAGAGACCUGUGCAAGGGCGCCUUGUAGGAGCCUGCCGUCCCCACAGGGGUGUUUGUGGAUAACACUUGGGGAGCCCUGGCCUUUUGGGGUCACGGAGGGCUUGGCCUCUCACCUCAGAGCUGCAGAGGAGACGCUUCUACAUCAGGACAUCAGAAGCUGGAACGGGGAUGGCCGGCGAGGGGCCUCUUGUUGGGGUCACAGAGAUGGGUCGCAGAGAUGGCCUGUGUGGAAGGUUGGAUUCUCACCCCACCUCUGCCCCUAGAUGUCCUGGUGACCCUCCCCUCUGUAGUCUUGGUUUUUUGCAAAACACUUAUGACCUCCUGCCAUACUGGGUACUUUGCUUAUGUAUUGUGUUUACUCUUUACUGUGUGUCUCUCCUGCUAAGGUCUACGAAGAAGGGUCUUUGUGGGUGGGGUUCUUAGAGGCAUCCCAAGUACCAGAAGCAGUCCCUGGACUAAGGGGCUCAAGAAAUAUUUUUUAUUUAUUAUUUUUUCUUUUUGAGAUGCAGUCUCUCUCUCUUGCCCAGGCUGGAGUACAGUGGCACAAUCUUGGCUCACUGCAGCCUUCGCCUCCUGGGUUCAAGUGAUUUCAGGCUAAUUUUUGUAUUUUUAGUAGAGACGGGGUUUCACCAUGUUGGCCAGGCUGGUCACGAACUCCUGACCUCAAGUGAUCCACCCGCCUCAGCCUCCCAGCGUGCUGGGAUUAUAGACAUGAGCCACCAUGCCUGGCCAAAUAUUUGUCAAAUUGAAUUUGUAUUUCCAUACAAAUUUUAGUCUGGAUGAAGUGCUUCAUGCCUGUAAUCCAAGCACUUUGAGAGGCUGAGGCGGGCAGAUGGCUUGAGCCCAGGAGUUUGAGACCAGCCUGGAAAACAUAGAGAAACCCCGUCUCAAUAUAAGAAGAAGAAGAAAAAGAAAAAAAAAAAAUCAAAAACGAAAACAACACAAAUUUUAGAGUAAGUAUUUUAAGUUCCACAAAAACCUGGUUAGGAUUUGGAUAGCAAUUUCUUUAGUUCUACAAAUCAAUUUGGAAAAAAUUAAUUAAUUUGGGAAGAAUUCAUUUUGAGUCUUCUAAUCCAUGAACAUGGUAUCUCCAUUUGUUUAGACCAUCUUUAAUGCCUGCUAAUAACAUUUCUGUAUAGUGACCUUGUACAUUAUUCUUAGAUUCUUGAUAUUUUGUGCUAUUAUGUCUUUUUAUAAAUUUUAUUUUUCCAACAUUGUUGCUAAUAUAUAGUAAGAAAAUGGAAUGUUGCCUAUGGAUUUUGAACCCAACAACUUUGCUAAACUCCUCUGAAUCCUCAGAAUUUCCCUGUGGAUUAUGUAGACUCUUCUGCAUACACAACCAUAUCAUCUGUGAAUAAAGACAGUUUUGUUUUCUUCUUCACAAACUUUACCCAACUCACUGUGCAGUCUGCCACAUCCAGGCUGAUAUUGAAUAGCAGCGGCACCAAUAGGUGUCUUUGUCCCCUUGCCAAUCUUGUAAAGAAAGCUUUCAACAUUUUCCUGUUAGCUGUGUUGGCAGCUCUGACUUUUUCCAUAGAUGGCCUUCAUCAGCUUAACAACGGGUCUUUUCUUCCCAGAGGGCUGAGCUUUUCCUUAAGAACAGACAGUGAGUGUCAUCAAACACUCGGCUGCAUCUGUUGAGAUGGUCAUACGACUUGUGUCUUUUCCUGUGUUUGUGUAUGAACUCUCUCUGGGUGUCUGAGAGUUCUUGUGACUUUCACAGAAGAACACAAUUUACCCUCCCGUGUGGGAAGGGGAAGGAGGCAGAGGAAGAAAGACCCCAAGUCCCCCUCAUCCCCACUGACCUUCCUGCUGGCUUCGUCCUUGAUUUGUGCCUCCUUAGAUCCUGCGUUUGACUACUUGCGGUCAUGAUGACAGGGCCAACCUCCUGACCAGGGCUGUUGGCACCUCCCCUCCUGCCCAGAGCCCCUGCUCCAAACCACUUCAUUCAUCUUCUGUACCCCCAGCCAAUAUUUCCCUGCCCAGUGUCAACCCAGGCCCAGAACCAGACCACAAGGGACAGCCCCGGAACCCAGAAUCAGACAAAUCAGCCCGUCCCAAGCUGUCUCCCCUGCUCUGCCCGGCUUUCCCAGGAAGCCAACAGAGGCUGUGGCUUGGCCUUUCCCUCGCUCCUUUCUGCCUCCUGGUCUGCCUGCGGCUUCCCCCUGCCGCCCUGCGGGGCCUGCCAUGUCUCUCAUUUCUAGCGAAUGUUUCCAGAGCGAUGUUAGACUUUCCUUUCAAUAGCGCUGACCUCUGUUAGGCACCUUUAUGGAUUAAGACCUGGGCAUAGAUGGUUUCUUCGGCAUCACGACCUGAAGGUGCUUGGGAGAGACGGUGAGGAGGAGAAUGCACCCUGCCAUGCUCUGCACUGCACAUGGAUGCAGAUUUUACCAUGUUGGCCAGGCUGGUCUGAAACACACGGAGCCCAAGCGCCCGGUGGACUCUCUGACGGUCCUCGGGCGUGUGCCAUUGUAAGCAGAGUAUUCAGCUCUCAUCAGGGCCUCGCCAGAGCAGAAAUGGUCUGUUGAUAAAUGCAUCGUAUACAAUUAUAAAUGUGCACCCAGCAUUGCUGCUUCCUCUUUUUUUUUGAUAUAGGGACUUGCUCUGUCGCCCAGGCUGCAGCGCAGUAGGGCAGUCACAGCUCACUGCAGCCUCAACCUCCCAGGCUCAAGCAAUCCUUCCACCUCAGCCUCCUGAGUAGCUGGAACUACACAUCCAGCUAUUUUUUUUUUUUUUUUGGUAGACACAGGAUCUCACCAUGUUGGCCAGGCUGGUCUUAAACUCCUGCGCUCAAGUGAUCCGCCCACCUUGGGCUCCCAAAGUACUGGCAUUACAGGUGGGAGCCACUAUGCCUGGCCUGCUUCCUUUCGCAAACAGGAAUCUUGUAAAUAGAAUUGAUCAGAACUUGUUGUUUAAUGUACACAGACCUCUAGCUGUACUGCAAAGCUGUGUGCACAUGUGUUAAGUCAUCUGUUCUAUGUGUUCUAAUUAUAAAUAAGAAAAAACAAAUUUCAAUCAGCCAUGCUGGAGGAAGAGCAAUUAUGUUUCUAUUCCUUCUAUCGUAGGUGAUGUAAAAUUCUCAAACAAUGAGAUAGAUAAAAAGUACGCAGCCAAAAAGUGCAGGAAGAAGUGUUAUGGAGAUGGAGCAGGCCCUUCGUAAAAACACGAUGUUGGUUUUCUGGAUUUUGUAUGUUUGCUUUUUUUUUUUCCUCAUCCUAAAGAAAUAUUCACUGUCAUACCUAA